GAAUGACUGUUGCUGUUGCGGUCAGCUUCGGUGGUUUCUUAAAGGAGAAGGACAGUAUUUUAAAAAGAACAAAUUGGGGAGAAGCAAACAUCCACGGGACGGAGCCCCGGUCAAUUAUUAUUGGCCGAAUCAGUUCGUCAAAGGGAAUAUCUGGCUGAGGAAGACCUGCCUGGACUGUCCCCUUCCCAGCUAGCCAAUCAGCCUGGGUCACUAUGGAAGGGAGAAGCAGAAGAUUACCUUGCAGAAUAUGGAAUAUGUAGAAUGUGAUCAUUUGCUGGAUGGAAAUCUUCAGUAACUUCCCAGAAAUGUCUCCCUGCUGAGAACCUCUGACAGCCAAGGACAUAUGGACAACGUUCAAAUCUCAUGCUGUUUGGGGAAGGAUAUAUUUGUUUACAUGGCUUAAUUCCUC